UUUUUUGUAAUUUGGUAAAUAUUAUUAUUGUCUUUUGUGUGGGUUGGAUAUAUUGUCGGUUAGAAGUUGCAAUUUUGUAGAUCUCUUGCUAUUCUCUCUAAUUAUUUUAGCCUAGUUAGCCUUGAGACUUUAAGAUUGCACUGUAGCUACAAUCUGUAUCUUGUUACAAUCACUGUAGUUUUAUUUAAGCUCUUAUAAAUCUUUUCUGGAUUAUUAGUUCCUUUUUUUUUUUUUCCCCUGUCAGUUGUGAUUUCAUGUGCCAUAAGAUAGGAGCUACUAAACUUCCAUGGCUAGGAUAACUUGUUGAACCUUAACCCACGAAACGUGUUUUUCCCUUGUGGUAUGUUCUCUUGCUGGGUCAUCCCCCUUGAUUCAUGGCUAAACUGCAAUCUUACUCACCUAUGGACCUCCUUUGUCCUGCUAUGCUUGCCAUCGACCACAAACUGUUGCUUCUGCUCAGUUGUCAACUCAUAAUUAAUGCUGGUGUGAUGCUGAUUACACUUUCAUUAGGUUUGAUAUCCU
rnacentral:lncRNA from 1 species